UACUAUGACCGCACUUGUCACCACAUGAUGCACCAGGGGAAAACUAAGUUUCCAGAGAUAGUGGGGCGAUCCGCUCAUGUCCCGGUUCAAUCAGGUACUAGGCUUCCCCAUCCCAUACUAGGUGUGAGAUUAGUACUUUCAAACACUUAAUCACGAACAUUAUCACAUCUCGACCUUAGUCCAAUUUCAUGUAGACAGACGGGGCAAACCACCGAGUACCGAACAUAAGCCCGGCCCCGUCCAUCAUCCUUAUAGUUGCAACAUAAGUAAAGCAAUCAACUCCUAAAACUCGCGAGUGACAGGAAAUCACUCGACUUUUACUGAGUCCUAUUGAGCAUUGCAACUACUCGACUUAACAUACUAGUGUUCAGAUCAAGGGAACUAUAUUCAUGCAUCUAUGGUUUCAAUCAACUCCUAGAAUGUAAAUGUGCAAUCAAAGCAAUCAAUUGUAUUACAAGUAUUUAAAGAUAGGAAAUCAUGCUCCGGGGCUUGCCUGGAAUCAAACACUAGGUUAGUGUUUGUUAGAUGACACUCGCCUAGCGAGCAUCUCCCAUCUCGGCACUUGCUUAGUCUUCGAGAUAGGUCCACCAUACACUGUCUUCGGGUUUGGUUCCAUCAUCACAUCCUUCACGUGGUUUAUCUAGCGUAUCUAGAUGAGAUGCAAGUGCAUGAAUACGAAGAAUGGUAACAUGAGAUGCAUUACAUAAAAGCAUUCAGGACAAGCACAAGGUUACACCACAAGACAUAAGUACUUAGAGAGCAAGUUAUUUAACUAACUAUCAUUCAAGUCUCCAUAGAGAUAGCAAGCAUAACAAGCAUGGCACACUAGUUAACUCAAGUCAAGCUAUUGCAAGCAUUUAACAGUCAAGAGCUAAUUAAGCAUAGCAUCAUACAAGAACUAGGGUGAUGGUGCUUAUCAACAUGGCAUACAUAAGUGCAUCACAUAACCAGCAAGUUGAAGGUGAUCAAAGUAUAUUACAUUUGUUUUUAAACCACUCAUACACAAGCAAGUCACACACCAACAUCACUAAGGUUAUAGUAAGCUAUGCAGCAAG
rnacentral:lncRNA from 1 species